rnacentral:rRNA from 1 species
UACGUAGGGUGCAAGCGUUGUCCGGAAUUAUUGGGCGUAAAGAGCUCGUAGGCGGCUUGUUGCGUCGGCUGUGAAAACCCGCGGCUUAACCGCGGGCCUGCAGCCGAUACGGGCAGGCUAGAGUUCGGUAGGGGAGUAGGGAAUUCCUGGUGUAGCGGUGAAAUGCGCAGAUAUCAGGAGGAACACCGGUGGCGAAGGCGCCACUCUGGGCCGAAACUGACGCUGAGGAGCGAAAGCGUGGGUAGCAAACAGG